GACGAACCGUGCGAACGUUAUUCGGAAUCACUGGGCUUAAAGCGCGUGUAGGCGGAUGAGCACGUCUGUCGCUGAAAUCCCCCGGCUCAACCGGGGAACGGGCGCGGAUACGGCUCGUCUGGAGGGGCGUAGGGGGACCUGGAACUUCCGGUGGAGCGGUGAAAUGCGUUGAGAUCGGAAGGAACGCCCGUGGCGAAAGCGAGGUCCUGGACGCCUACUGACGCUGAGACGCGAAAGCCAGGGGAGCGAACGGG
rnacentral:rRNA from 1 species